rnacentral:rRNA from 1 species
AUUGAACGCUGGCGGCAGGCUUAACACAUGCAAGUCGAGCGGAGAUGAGGUGCUUGCACCUUAUCUCAGCGGCGGACGGGUGAGUAAUGCUUAGGAAUCUGCCUAUUAGUGGGGGACAACAUUCCGAAAGGAAUGCUAAUACCGCAUACGCCCUACGGGGGAAAGCAGGGGAUCUUCGGACCUUGCGCUAAUAGAUGAGCCUAAGUCGGAUUAGCGAGUUGGUGGGGUAAAGGCCUACCAAGGCGACGAUCUGUAGCGGGUCUGAGAGGAUGAUCCGCCACACUGGGACUGAGACACGGCCCAGACUCCUACGGGAGGCAGCAGUGGGGAAUAUUGGACAAUGGGCGGAAGCCUGAUCCAGCCAUGCCGCGUGUGUGAAGAAGGCCUUUCGGUUGUAAAGCACUUUAAGCGAGGAGGAGGCUACCUGGAUUAAUACUCUAGGAUAGUGGACGUUACUCGCAGAAUAAGCACCGGCUAACUCUGUGCCAGCCGCCGCCGUAAAAC